rnacentral:tRNA from 1 species
GGGCUCGUGGCCUAGUCAGGUAAGGCAAAGGGCUUUUAACCCUUGGAUCGGGGGUUCAAAUCCCCCCGAGCCCG